CCAAUAGCGUAUAUUAAAGUUGUUGCAGUUAAAAAGCUCGUAGUUGAAUUUCGGGAUUUGCGCAUCGGUCGUGCCUUAAGGGGUAUGAACUGGUGUAGUGGAUUUCUCACCUUCUGGAGAACCGUGAUGUCCUUAAUUGGGUGCCUUGAGGAACCAGGACCUUUACUUUGAAAAAAUUAGAGUGUUUAAAGCAGGCAUUUUUGCUUGAAUACAUUAGCAUGGAAUAAUAAAAUAGGACGGCAUGGUUCUAUUUUGUUGGUUUCUAGGAUCACCGUAAUGAUUAAUAGGGAUAGUUGGGGGCAUUAGUAUUCAAUUGUCAGAGGUGAAAUUCUUGGAUUUAUUGAAGACUAACUACUGCGAAAGCAUUUGCCAAGGAUGUUUUCAUUAAUCAAGAACGAAAGUUAGGGGAUCGAAGACGAUCAGAUACCGUCGUAGUCUUAACCAUAAACUAUGCCGACUAGGAAUCAGACGAUGUUAAUUUUUUAAUGACUCGUUUGGCACCUUACG
rnacentral:rRNA from 1 species